UACGAAGGGGGCUAGCGUUGCUCGGAAUUACUGGGCGUAAAGGGCGCGUAGGCGGCUCUGUUAGUCAGGCGUGAAAGUCCUGGGCUCAACCUGGGAACUGCGCUUGAUACGGCAGAGCUAGAGGAUGGAAGAGGGUCGCGGAAUUCCCAGUGUAGAGGUGAAAUUCGUAGAUAUUGGGAAGAACACCGGUGGCGAAGGCGGCGCCCUGGUCCAUUACUGACGCUGAGGCGCGACAGCGUGGGGAGCAAACAGG
rnacentral:rRNA from 1 species